UACGAGUAGCUCGAGUGGUGUCCACGAAUAUUGAGCCUAAAGCGCCCGUAGCCGGGCCGGCAAGUUUUCCGUGAAAUCCCAAAGCUCAACUUUGGGAAUGGCGGGAAAUACUACCAGCCUUGGGAAUGGGGGAGGCAUGGGGUACGUUAGGGGGAGCGGUAAAAUGCUGUAAUCCUUAACGGACCACCGGUGGCGAAAGCGCCAUGCCAAAACAUGUCCGACGGUGAGGGGCGAAGGCCAGGGGAGCAAACCGG
rnacentral:rRNA from 1 species